rnacentral:rRNA from 1 species
UACGUAGGGGGCUAGCGUUGUCCGGAUUUACUGGGCGUAAAGAGCGCGCAGGCGGUCGGAUAAGUCGAAUGUGAAAGCCCCCGGCUCAACUGGGGAGGGUCAUUCGAUACUGUUCGACUCGAAGGCAGGAGAGGGAAGUGGAAUUCCCGGUGUAGUGGUGAAAUGCGUAGAUAUCGGGAGGAACACCAGUGGCGAAGGCGACUUCCUGGCCUGUUCUUGACGCUGAGGCGCGAAAGCUAGGGGAGCAAACGGG